rnacentral:rRNA from 1 species
AUUGAACGCUGGCGGCAGGCCUAACACAUGCAAGUCGAGCGGUAGAGAGGUGCUUGCACCUCUUGAGAGCGGCGGACGGGUGAGUAAUGCCUAGGAAUCUGCCUGGUAGUGGGGGAUAACGUCCGGAAACGGACGCUAAUACCGCAUACGUCCUACGGGAGAAAGCAGGGGACCUUCGGGCCUUGCGCUAUCAGAUGAGCCUAGGUCGGAUUAGCUAGUUGGUGAGGUAAUGGCCCACCAAGGCGACGAUCCGUAACUGGUCUGAGAGGAUGAUCAGUCACACUGGAACUGAGACACGGUCCAGACUCCUACGGGAGGCAGCAGUGGGGAAUAUUGGACAAUGGGCGAAAGCCUGAUCCAGCCAUGCCGCGUGCGUGAAGAAGGUCUUCGGAUUGUAAAGCACUUUAAGUUGGGAGGAAGGGUACUUACCUAAUACGUGAGUAUUUUGACGUUACCGACAGAAUAAGCACCGGCUAACUCUGUGCCAGCCGCCGCAGUAAUAC